GACGAACGCUGGCGGCGUGCUUAACACAUGCAAGUCGAACGGAAAGGCCUGCUUUCCCUUGUGGAUUGCGGGUACUCGAGUGGCGACCGGGUGAGUAACACGUGAGUGAUCUGCCCCCAACUUGGGUAUAAGCCUGGGAAACUGGGUCUAAUUCCCGAUAGGACUGCAGGGUGGUGCCUGUGGUGGAAAACGAUUUUCUAGUGGUUGGGGAUGAGCUCGCGGCCUAUCAGCUUGUUGGUGGGGUAAUGGCCUACCAAGGCGGCGACGGGUAGCCGGCCUGAGGGGGUGGACGGCCACAUUGGGACUGAGAUACGGCCCAGACUCCUACGGGAGGCAGCAGUGGGGAAUAUUGCACAAUGGGCGGAAGCCUGAUGCAGCGACGCCGCGUGGGGGAUGACGGCCUUCGGGUUGUAAACUCCUUUCGACCGCGAGGAAGCCACCUGGUUGGAAGGGUGGUGACGGUAGUGGUAGAAGAAGCACCGGCUAACUACGUG
rnacentral:rRNA from 1 species